rfam:Oryza sativa Japonica Group DNA, chromosome 9, cultivar: Nipponbare, complete sequence.
UUUAAGCGCAACCAUGAGUUUUCGUGCCUAACUUUGAUCGUCCGUUUUAUUUGAUUUUUUUUAUAAUUAGUAUCUUUAUUGUUAUAAGAUGAUAAAGUAUGAAUAGUACUUUAUACGUGACUUAUGUUUCAAAUUUUUUUCAAUUUUUUUUAAAUAAGACGGACGGUAAAAGUUGGACACGGAAAAUCAUGGUUACAUUUAAA